rnacentral:lncRNA from 1 species
CCUUGACCAAAAACUUUAACCUGAAGCGGGACAGACGGACGAACGGACGCACAGACCAGAAAACAUAAUGCCCCUCUACUAUCGUAGGUGGGGCAUAAAAACUAACUUUAGAUUAGACACAUUUGUUUUAAUUACAAAUCCUACCCAUUAUUUAUAAUACAAACAAAUAUAGAAAUGUAAUGUUUUUAAAUUUAAUGGUUUAAGUCUUCGAAUAAACAUGAUGAAGAAACCAAAACCAAACAAACAAACAAGUUUAACCAAAAAAUGUGACCGUGGCUGUUUCGGUUCUUAUGCAUCCUUGGCUCUCAAAUAUUAGGCUUUGAGCAUUCUUAAUGAAUAUAAACCUAGAAAAGCGCUUCGGAUGCAUGCAAUUUUUAACGUGUUCUUUUCAUUUCUUAUCAGGUUAAAAUUCUAAACAUAAACUUUUCUGAAACCAUUAUGUUGAAACAUUGCUAAAAUAAUUAAAAAAAUACUUAGUUUAAAUAGUAACAUCAUAACUG